CUUCACUGAAGAGUAAAAGGAAGUUUUGAUCGUAUGCUUCCAUCAGGCCACAGACACUUUUUCAAAUUCAUUUUUCUUUAUAACGUUAAGUCAAGUCCUUUUCUUAUAACUCUCUUGUUUCAUAAAGACUUUAAGACAGUUAAAAAAUGAGAAUAGGUUUUCCCUGGUGGUCCAGUGGUUAAGAGUCCACCUGCCAAUGGAGGAUACGUGGGUUUGAUCCUUGGUCUGAGAAAGAUCCCACGUGCAGCGGAGCAACUGAGCCCAUGCACAGCAGCUACUGAGCCCCUGAGCUGCGUACUGAAGCCUGUGUGCCUAGAGCCUGUCCUCUGCAGCAAGCGAAGCCACCACGAUGAGAAGCCCGUGCACUGCAGAGAAGAACAGCCUCCAGCUGCUGCAACUAGAGAAAGCCCACACACAGCAACAAAGACCCAGCAGAGCCAAAAAUAACCAAAAAAGGGAAGGAACAAAAGAGAGGGAACAAUGACGUACAUGUGAAGAAAUGACAGAUGAACAUGGAUUAAGAGCCAACCUUGAUGAUUUACACAAGGCCAAAGCGACUCAAGGAAGAGUGAGACCCCUGGAAUCUUUCAUGGAGAUAGCCGUAACAGGAACUAGAGUAUAUGCAGACUUGAAGACAGAAGAAGGAAGUUAACCAGAUCAGAAUCAUUCAUUCAAGGAUCAGAGUCAAAUAACCAGCUACAGGCCCAAGAUACAGAAGGUUAGAAGUGAUGUUUCCAAGAUUUUCAACGGUCCCAUGAUUGAUACAGAGGACUGUCAUAUGAACCAGAGAGGGUAAUUGAAACCAAAGAAAGGACUCCAGUGUGUAGCCAAAGGCAUGCCACCAGGGGUGAGAAGGAGCAGAUGUCUUCACAAACAGGGCAUGAGACCAACUGUGUGUGGUCAGCCUCUGAUUUGGGCCCAAAAGGAAAAGAAAUUCAGAGGAGACAGUGACUCUCAGACUCUUGUUAAUGAGCAAGAGUUCCCUGGAUCCAAGAGGCCUUUGCCUUCUGGCUUGCAGCCUCACAUUUGCAAGAUGGCUGCUGCACAUCUAACCUUUACAUCCACAUUCUAGGCAGGAAUAAUGGGAAAGAACAAGGAAACUAUGUAGCUGAAAAAGAAUGCAUUGACUUUUCUGGGAGGAGAAAUACCUGAUUUCUGAACACAGUCUAUAUCCUGAACAGUUUCCUAGAGAUGACGUACUGAUUAAUUUUUAUAAAGCACUCCAAGCGUCACACAGUAAGUUUUGGUAUUUCCAAGUGCCCAAAGAGCCAAGCAUUUAAAGGGCUUCCCUGGUGACUCAGAUGGUAAAGAAUCUGCCUGCAGUGCAGGAGCCCUGGGUUCCAUCCCUGGGUUGGGGAGAUCACCUGGAGGAGGGCAUGGCAACCCAUUCCAAUAUUCUUGCCUGGAGAAUCCCCACGGAUGGAGGAGCCUGCUGGGCUACAGCUCAUGGGCUCA
ensembl:lncRNA